rnacentral:tRNA from 1 species
GGGUCGUUAGUUCAUUGGUAGAACGCUUCACUGAUAAUGAAGAGGUGGAUAGUCCGAUUCUAUCACGACCCA